CCUACGGGAGGCAGCAGUGAGGAAUAUUGGUCAAUGGACGAGAGUCUGAACCAGCCAAGUAGCGUGAAGGAUGACUGCCCUAUGGGUUGUAAACUUCUUUUAUAUGGGAAUAAAAUGUUACACGUGUGGGAUUUUGUAUGUACCAUAUGAAUAAGGAUCGGCUAACUCCGUGCCAGCAGCCGCGGUAAUACGGAGGAUCCGAGCGUUAUCCGGAUUUAUUGGGUGUAAAGGGAGCGUAGGUGGAGUGUUAAGUCAGUUGUGAAAGUUUGCGGCUCAACCGUAAAAUUGCAGUUGAAACUGGCAGUCUUGAGUACAGUAGAGGUGGGUGGAAUUCGUGGUGUAGCGGUGAAAUGCGUAGAUAUCACGAAGAACUCCGAUUGCGAAGGCAGUUCACUGGACUGCAACUGACACUGAGGCUCGAAAGUGUGGGUAUCGAACAGGAUUAGAUACCCUAGUAGUC
rnacentral:rRNA from 1 species